UACGAAGGGGGCGAGCGUUGUUCGGAUUUACUGGGCGUAAAGGGCGCGUAGGCGGCGUGUUAAGUCACUUGUGAAAUCUCUGAGCUUAACUCAGAACGGUCAAGUGAUACUGAUGUGCUAGAGUGCAGAAGGGGCAACCGGAAUUCUUGGUGUAGCGGUGAAAUGCGUAGAUAUCAAGAGGAACACCUGAGGUGAAGACGGGUUGCUGGGCUGACACUGACGCUGAGGCGCGAAAGCUAGGGUAGCAAACGGG
rnacentral:rRNA from 1 species